rnacentral:lncRNA from 1 species
CUCUCCCUCGCUCUGGCUGAGCCCUUGGCAUUGGGUUCAUUGUCAUGUAUGGAAUUGAGGGGAAAAAAGGCGCACCAUAAAAAUCUCUUCAUUAACACACUGAUAGCAUCUUUUAUUUCCCUUCGCUCAAUCAGAAGUUUUCUCUACCAACCAUUAGUCAUGUUUCAUCAAAGCAACAACUACCUAAAUGAAUACUAAUGUGCUAUAGGACUUCAUCCUUCUUGCAUUUUCAUAAUUGUCAUGGGAAAUGAAGAUCCAAUCAGAGUCGUAGCCUAUAGCAGAGGAAAUGCAUGAUUCAGAAGACAGCCCAGGAUUGCUUUCUCGCUGUCGCCAGAUAACUCUGAACUGUAGACUCUGCAGAACUUCUAUGGGCUGAAAGGGUUCUUACGCCACAGAUUUCUUGCUUUUAUGAUCGCCAGCGUCAUUGAAAGUAAAUUCCAGAUCGUGCUACAGGAGGAAAGCAAAGACACUGUGUAGCAAUAGCGUCUUGUGUCUGACACAGAUUUUCAUCCUUUUGAUUCAGAUCUUUGGAAAAGUAAACAGAACGAAGGAAUAAUAACAAACAGAUGCCAGAGAGAGAUUGUGGCAUGAAAUCUUUGCUAUGCUGAUUGUUUACAAAUUGUGUCUGAGUCUUCUAUCCUCGUUUGUUAAAAGAUGUUGGAAAAUAACUCAGGUCUUAAGUUUGGUUAAGAUCUGGAUGCGGGGGCAUGAUCCCCUUAUUGUAUUCAUUUUUUCAUUUCAUUCUUUUAGUAAUAGAAUUUCCCAAGUUCUGGUUGAGUACACAGACCCAGAGCCUAUUUCCAAAGGCUCCCCUGAAGCUGGGUAUAUGAUGACAUUCUGGGUGAUGGGAUGUGAGCUGUCCUUUAAAAGAAGCUGAUGAUGCGGUGGAAUGGGGAAAGGUGCAAUGAAUGGGACAUCCUGGGAAGAGUGGAGCCACAAGUUAGAAGGGGGCACUGAAAGAGUAAAUUGGAUUUUAUGUAAAUUGGACCUUAAUUUUAAAAACAGAAGAAGAAGAUGGAGAAGAACAAGAGGAAGAAGAGGGGAAGAAGCAGAAGGAGGAGGAGGAGAAGAUGAUCCCGGGGUCCUGGAGCAUCUCAUGGAACAGAGUCAGUUUUCAGUCUUGACCUGCCCACAAUUCCUGCACUCAUCUGUUAAAGGGAAAUAUACUUCCCUUCUGCUGGAGGCACUGGGUUUGGGGGUAGUUGUGUUACGGCAACUUAGGCUAUACCCUAAUGAUGAGAGAUGUUCUAAAUUUUACACACUUGCUAUUUUCCCAUUGGCUGAAGGGCUUGUGAGACACAGUGUAUUUUGUUUUAUUUUAUUUUAUUUUAUUUUAUUAUUUUAUAGGGCUGCCCUCGUGGCAUAUGGAGGUUCCCAGGGUAGGGGUCCAAUCAGAGCUACAGCUGCCAGCCUACACAACAGCCACGCCAGAUCCGAGCCAUGUCUGCAACUUACACCACAACUCAUGGCCACACCGGAUCCUUAACCCACUGAGCGAGGCCAGGGAUGGAACCCACAACCUCAUGGUUCGUAAUCAGAUCCAUUAACCACUGCGCCACAACAGGAACUCCCACAGGGUAUUUAGAAGGGAGAGAAAAAUGGGUUCUCGAACACUCUUUAUCUAGAUGGUGGACAAAGCUCACCUUCCCGUUAUAGGCACUUUCAGGUUAUUAUGUGUCCUCAGCAUCUGAAAGAGUUUGGGUUCCUUUUAUUUUUUCUGUUGUAUGUUAACAAUUAAAAUGACUGGGCU